CUCAGAUGCAGAGCACCAAUCAACCCUAAUGAGGUAACAAGGUGUGAGGGCAGGAGGGACAUCAAUGCCUGAGGCAACAGCUUUGAAACAAAUGUCUUUGGUUCCUGCACUGUCUGGGUGAAGGUGGGAUGUUGUGCAUAUGAUCUCAGCCCGGUUUUUGCAGAUGAGUGCCAUUUGGAGCUCAUCCAGAAAUGUGACUCCAAAUUCACACCUCUUGGGCAGUAAAUCAGGCCUUGGGAAGUCUCCUACCCAUGCUAAGAAACCAUUCAGAAGCAUAGCUGUCUAAACAAACAGGGUAAGUAGAAUUUAUUAUUUUU